UCACUGGGAGAAAGAGACAGAUCGAGGGAGACAAGGAGAAAAAGAGAGAAAAAUAGAAAGGAAUUCCGCUCGUUGAGGUAGUGCCAACGCUUUCCUCUCUGUCGUUGUCGAUUCCCGUGACGUUUCCUCAGCGCCGAACCGGGAUACUUUGCUUUCAAUUUCGUGGAACUUGUGGUAGUAGUCCAUCGCUGCUGUUCCAGGAUGAACUGCUGGAUGUCGACUUACAUCAUGUGUUUCAACUAGAUAAUGUAGCUCUGAAGCAAAUAUGUUUUUUUUUUCCAGCGUAAGUUGCUACAUUGUGACUCUUUAGAUAUGUAAACCUUGAGCUAUUUAGAUGAUGAGUUGUUUUCUAAU